AAUCAGUUCAGCCGUUCUCGAGCUUUAGCGAGACUAACGAACAGAAAUUCAUUUUUAUUUAUAUAGAUAGAUUAUAGGCCUCUUCUUUAGUAAAGAUACCUAAGCGAUGGUUGUGUAAUGUAGAACUUCGAUUGCAGAUACUUAUUGCUCUGGCAUUCUAUGCCACAGGCUCGUACCAGACACUUGUUGGCCAGAGUGCGUCUUAGACCACUGUCUCAAGGGCUGUGAGGCAAGUAACUGAAGCACUCAAUAGCAUCCUCCUGCAAUAUGUCAUCUGGCCAAAGCAUGUUCAAGACCGAAAUAAAAUUAAGACACAGUUCUAUAAAUUUGGGAUUCUCGGAGUAUUAGGCUGCAUAGACGGCACCCACAUAGCCAUCCUGAGACCAGUUGAACAUGAGGAGCGAUAUUUUAAUAGAAACCAUUCCCUUAAUGUUAUUGUAAGAUAUCUUAAUAUGCGCACACACACUAGUGCACUAGAUUAUCUCUUGCGUAUGUGGCUGAUCUUCAUUGAUAUGCUACUAUGACUGAAAACAUUCAGAGAGUACCUAGGCUAGUAGUAUGUUAUUGCUUAUUGGUUUUAUUAUAAAGACUUAUUAAGUCUAUGCCAAUAAACCAAUUCAAUGUUUAGAAUUUGUCGUGACAUUGACGUGCCAGAUGACAGAAGUUUUUAUUUAAUUAUUAACCUGGUCAUAGAUAACUAUGUAAUACAGCCACCUCAUUUGAAAUAAACUCUUUCUGACACG